UUUAAAGUGGUACGUGAGCUGGGUUUAAAACGUCGUGAGACAGUUUGGUCCCUAUCUGCAGUGGGCGUUGGAAGUUUGACGGGGGCUGCUCCUAGUACGAGAGGACCGGAGUGGACGAACCUCUGGUGUACCGGUUGUAACGCCAGUUGCAUAGCCGGGUAGCUAAGUUCGGAAGAGAUAAGCGCUGAAAGCAUCUAAGCGCGAAACUCGCCUGAAGAUGAGACUUCCCUUGCGGUUUAACCGCACUAAAGAGUCGUUCGAGACCAGGACGUUGAUAGGUGGGGUGUGGAAGCGCGGUAACGCGUGAAGCUAACCCAUACUAAUUGCUCGUGAGGCUUGACUCU
rnacentral:rRNA from 1 species